rnacentral:tRNA from 1 species
AAGGCUCUAGCUUAAUUAAAGCAUUUGGGUUGCAUUCAGAGGAUGAAGGUUAAUGUCCUUCGGGCCUUA